rnacentral:lncRNA from 1 species
UUUUUUUUUCUUUUCUUUUUCUUUUUACAGCUGCACUGCUGCAUGUAGAGAUUCCCAGGCUAGAGACUGAAUUGGAGCUGUAGCUGCUGGCCUAUGCCACAGCCACAGCAAUGUGGGAUCCGAGCUGCAUCUGCAACUUAUACCACAGCGCAUGGCAACGCUAGAUCCUUAACCCACUGAGUGAGGCCAGGGAUCAAACCGGCAUCCUCAUGGAUACUAGUCAGAUUCAUUUCCACUGUGCCACAACGGGAACUCCGGAGAUGGUCUAGUCUUACCCCCUCAUUUGGUCAAGUGGAAACUAAAGUCCAGCAGAGAUUCAUAUUCUCCCUCCUCCCUUCUGGGUUGCACACAGUCUUAAUGAGAGCCCAGAUCAUCUAUCUUCCAGCAAAUGCCUUUUCCACUCAGGCUGCUCACUGGUCAUGUAACUGCAUGCUUACAGAUACUCAUUUAUUUUAGCUUAUCGGAAGUUAUUCUAGCAUAUAUGUUAAAUCCUAUGUUCUACUUUGGAGCAAUCCAUUUACACUACUGGAUUUGUUAUUUAGAGUAAGAGCGGACAAGAAUCCCUUUCUUUUUCCUAAUGGAUUUACAUUUGGAGCAAAAAAAUUAAUCUAAGUAUCAAGGUAUGUGUGUUCUUCCUACGCUGUGUUCAUUACUGAAAUGUUAAGCAACUCUCCUGGGCUCCCAAGAAGUUUAUAUUAAAGGGUGGAGUACAGGCUGUCUGCCAGACACUCCUUUCCUAUCUUUGGUGAAGUCCCAUCAUACUAAGUGCUCAAGAGAAAGCAGGGAGAAAAGGGAUGAUGUUGGAGAGUCAGAAAAAGGAAAGGAAAUGGUUUCAAACAUGAGAGAGAAGAGAAAUCAGUGUUCCAAAGGAGAGGAGGGUCUGCUCAAGGCUGAGCAGCAGCGUCCUUAAGACGACGAGGUGUGACUAGGAAAUGAAAUCCAGACACAUGAGGUUUCAGCCACACCAAAUACUCCUGGGCCCUAAGGAUGACCCUGAGGAACACUUUGUUAGACUAAAUAUGGUCUCCAAAUCCCAAAGAUGGUCUCAACUACAUAAUAUAUCUCUCCUGCUCUUAUUACAAAGUGACAUCAACAUUCCUCCAUUGAGAGUUGGAUCUAAGGCUUUUGCCUGGUCCUAUGGUGAUGGUACCCUACCCAGCUACCAUGGUGUAAGGAAGUGAAGCAGCAAUGGAACUAUGUGUUCCAGCACCAGCCACAAUUGAGAGAGCAGUCAACAUCUGGGAUCAAUGGCCAGACACAUUAAGUAAGCAAGCCUUCAGAUGAUUUCAACCCUUGGUUCACAAUAACCGGGGUAGAGAUGAGCUAUACUGCAGAUUUGUGAGCAAAAUAAAUGUUGUGGUUAUUUUAAGUUAUUGAUUUUUUUUAAUGUAGCCAUACCUUACUACAAUAAUUUCAAAUCUCAACAUGUAAUGAUUCUUCAAUUUGCUUAUCUAUUAUUUAAAUAAGCUUUUCAGAUUUAAAAAACUUUUAAAUAUAAAUAUUUCUGAAGGUUUGAAGAAUGAUACAGCAGUCUUAGAAUUCACUUAAGGUUUAUUUUCUACCAGUAUGAAGCUGAGCAUCAUGGUUCCUUCGUAGUUAGACACUGGAGAGGAAGAAAGCUUCCUUCCAGAAAUCACAGUUGUUUAGAUUUGAGAAUUAGAUCUGAGUAGUUCUGACACAGGCAGGUUUUUAAUAUUAAGGGUAAAUGGGGAAUGCUGAGAAAUGGCUCUGUUGAAGAAAGAAGCACUGAUUAAGAGACUAUAAGUCUCUCAUAAGGAGCUAUAGAUGCUAGGAUAUUAAAAAAUCACCUCCUAACUCCACUUCUUAAAUGGACAUUCUCUUAGCCCCUAAAAGUAAGUGGCCUAUCCUUUUCCCCACUGGUAACCAUUAGUUUGUCCUCUAUAUCUGUGAAUCUGCUUCUGUUCUGAUAUAUACAUUGUUUGUUUUAUUCUUAGGAUUCCACAUAGAAGUGAUAACAUAGAGUAUUUGUCUUUCUCUGACUUAUUUCACUAGGCACAAUACUCUCUAGGUCUCUCUCUCUACAUAUAUCACAUAUUCUUUAUCCAUUUCCUUACUAAUAAUACACAUUUAGGUUUCUUUCAGUCAGCUAUUGUAAAUAGUGCUGCUAUGAACAUUGGGGAGCAUAUCCUUGCAAAUUAGUAUUUUCACUUUCUUCAGAUAUAUAGAUAGAAGUGAAAUUGCUGGAUCAUAUGGUAGCUCGAUUUUUAGGUUUUUUGGGGGUAUCUCCAUAUUCUUUUCCUUAGUGGCUACUACACCAAUUUACAUUCUCACCAACAGUGUACAAGAUGGGGUAUGAGAGUAAUAGGUAAAAACUACCAUGUAUAAAAUAGAUAAGCAAGAAGGAUAUAUCAUACAGCACAGGGAAAUAAUUUUAGGAAGUAAUAAUGAUCUCACAGAUUAAGCUGAUUCU